rnacentral:rRNA from 1 species
GACGAACGCUGGCGGCGUGCUUAACACAUGCAAGUCGACAUGAGUGGCGAACGGGUGAGUAUUACGUGGGUAACGUGCGCUCCUUGUUGGGAUCAGCCUUGGAAACGGGGACUAAUACCGCACAAAGGGGGAUGGGCUCGCGGCCUAUCAGCUUGUUGGUGGGGUGAUUGCCAACCAAGGCGGUGCCGUGUAGCCAGGCUGAGAGGUUGACCGGCCACUUAGGGACGGGGGUGCGGCCCAGACUCCUACGGGGGGGAGCAGUGGGUGAUAUUGCACAAGGGGCGAAAGCCGUAUGCAGCGACUACGCAUGGGGGAUGAAGGCUUUCGGGUUGUAAACCUCUUUCGCAAUCGAACGGUUAGGUGGAGAAGAAGCGCCGGCUAACUACGUGCCAGCAGCCGCGGUAAUAC